rnacentral:rRNA from 1 species
UACAGAGGGGGCAAGCGUUGUUCGGAAUUACUGGGCGUAAAGGGCGCGUAGGCGGCCUGCUAAGUCGAACGUGAAAUCCCCGGGCUCAACCCGGGAACUGCGUCCGAUACUGGCAGGCUUGAAUUCGGGAGAGGGAUGCGGAAUUCCUGGUGUAGCGGUGAAAUGCGCAGAUAUCAGGAGGAACACCGGUGGCGAAGGCGGGUCUCUGGGCCGAUACUGACGCUGAGGAGCGAAAGCGUGGGGAGCGAACAGG